UCGUUCUCAGCUGUGUCGACAGCUAUGUGCAGCACUGUUUCUUUACAGUGGAUAAGGACUUGUGCCGAUUCAAAGGCAGGCAGAGGCUUCCAGCCACAGGAUUCUCGGGCAUCCGUCUUUGCGGUUCUUGGAAAAUAGUUGUUCUGUUAGCAUCUUUUUCCUCCGGGGUCACCGGAGCCCGGCAGGCUCGCCUCGGGUCCCUCCUCGGUCAUCUCAUUCAGCAUUCUCUCGGUCCUCAUGAGGACUUCCUUGUCUCAGAGAGUUUUCUCUCCUUGUCAUGUCCCCUUGUCUCACGUGUCAUGGGUGCCUGGGGGUAUUUGGUCCGGAGCUGCUCUGCCCUGGCGCCCAGCCCGGUUGUAGGUGUUUAAGGACAAGUCCCGGGCACUUGUAAUUGGAGAUUUGUAAUAUGGGCUGUAGUUGGAGUCUAGCUGGUAUUCUUAUGUUGGCAGCAGGUGUCUGGAGCUGUGAAGUUACCCUGCAGCACUUUGACUUUUUUCCUAACUUUCUUUCAGAUUCAGAUAGAUUGACCUCCUGGCAGAACACCUGUCCCAGAUGAGGGGGUCCCCCUGAGAAGGAAGUAAAGCCGGAUAGCAGCGGGGAAGGCGAAGCAGGUGGAAGGUGGUCUACUUGCAAGAUAUCCCAGCCCAGGAUGCUGGAGGACAGGAGUUGGUGUUGCCCCGAGCACGGCAAGGAGCAGAGAUGAGCAGGUCUCUGAUGCCUAUUUUCUGAGGAUCUACCUUUUGAUGUUGAGAAGCAGCAGUGAGAAGAUAUCUCAGGGCAUUUUGUUCAGCAGAGUGUUUCAAAUAAGGGUUGCGGUCACUGUGCGAGUUAGUCUCCUGCUGCAUGUCAGAGUGUGGCUGUCUGUGAGAGUCGGUGGGUCAGGGUCUGCUUGUGUGCAUGUGUGUCGAGUGGUUCUAACCUGGUAUGUAUGGCUUUUGCUUUUCAGGACUUGCAAUUCACUUUUAAAUUUAGAAUAAAAAAUCCCCAGCUGGGGGGGUUUUUUUUUUUCCCUCCCAGCUGGGGUUUUUUUUCCUCGGUCCCGGCCGGUCUGCGAGGCGACAGUCAUCGCCAAAGUUUGGGCACGGACCGGCCCCGGACCGAGG